AUCGCUUAAUCUUUUGGCUAAGAUCAAGUGUAGUAUUUUCUUAUCAGUUUAAUAUCUGAUAUGUCCUCUAUCUGAGGACAAUAUAUUGCAUGGAUUUUUGAACUAGAAGAUGGAAUAGGAGCUUGAUCCAUCCACUAUACGCAUCCACCUGGUAUUGCAGUACAUCCAGGAACAGUGCACCCCCU